CCGUAGUCAGGCUGGGGAGGUGGCCUAGGUAACAGGUAGUUUCCACACAGCCUUGCAAAGAGCCCCCGGACCAUUUGCCUAAGCCCGGUUCCCAGUUAUGACCCAAAGGAGAAGGAAGUCUCCCUAAGCCUGCCAUUCAUUGGCCAUCUGCUGGACCAGCCACAGCAUGUGCGUGGAGCAGGGAGAGAAGGCCCUAAAGAGCGAUGCUGCCGAAAUUACCAGAGAUUGGCAACUAUUACGGAUUGACCUCCGCCUGGCGCUUUGCCUGGAAUCUCUCAUCUACUUCUCGAAAAGACCCUCCGAGGUCUAGCUCAGAUGCCACCAUCUCAGAGUGACCUUCCUGACCAUGUCGAACAGCCCAAACCCCGCUUACCUUUGGUCUCACCUCACUGUUGUUGAGCUCUAUUUUAGUGCUCUCAUUACUCUGGACUAUCUCCCUGGAGUGUGAUCUCCAGGAAGGCCAGGACUGGUAUGAAAUUGUCCCUGCUAGAGUCUCAGUGUCCAGAAGAAUAGAGCAGCAGGUGCUCAGGAGAUGUGUGGAUACAAGCAGAGCUUUGGAGAUACACAACUUUGGGUCUGAGUUACACCUCCCCACUAACCAUCUGCAGAACCAUCAAGGAGUCUCUCAGUGUCUUUGACCCUCAGUUUCCUCAUCUGCAAAUGGGGACAGCAGUACCUAUGCGAUGCAGCUACUAGGGUCUAAAGACGACUAAGUAUAAGGCGCUCAGUACAGUGUCUGUUAUUAGCAGAGCCUCAGAGAAUGAGAAUGGCCUCUUCGCUUGCAUGUAUUCAACGACAGGCAGCUCAUUCCCUCCCAAGGUGGGCUUGUCCACCUCUGAACCACCGCUGACAUCUGCCCAAAUAUGUCUCCCAUGGUGUCCUUCCUUUGGUCCUGGCUC